ensembl:lncRNA
CCACUGCUUUCUGAGAAUAGCUCCUCCAGGAUUCUGAUAGACCUCUUUUCUUGGGUGAAACUCAGUAGAGUAAGGUUAGUAAGAUAAACUACAACACCCAAUGCUGCAGUUGGCCUUCGAACUGCAGCUGAUACUCAUCUUCUUCCUCCACCACCAUCCAUUUCAUAUUCUCCUCACCCUUGGCUGGUUCUUCUGUUGGUCUCACUGGCUUUUCUGGUGGUGUGACAAAGACCUUCAUCCUUGAGGGGUCUGAAAGGACUCUAUGCCUUUCUGAUGUUUCUAUGAUUUUUAUCAUCAAAAUUGUAUGAAGGAGUACUAAGGAGGCAGCAGCCCAUUGCUCCUGAUGAUCAGGGCCAAUGACCCUUUCCAAGAUGGUGAGAUCUUUGCUUGCAGGUUCCUUGGCAAAAGGAACCUAAAGUAGCCAGGCACCAUCUGUAGUUUAUAGUUCAAUGGGACUUGCUGUGCCCCUAGUGGAAGUGUUUCCCUUUUGGAAACAAGGCCUUUUAAACUUAUAGAGUUCAGAUGUGGAAUAAAGCAUAAAUGUUCCCAAGUGAGUCAAGGGGAGAAAUAGUAACUUGGCCACUGCUGCUUCAAAUCCUUGAUUCCUAGACCCAUGUAUUGUUCCUAUUGGGGAGACAAUGAAGAUGUUUGAUUUAAAGUAUAUACUUCAUCAUAGAGGAUCAUAUCUCAAAGCUGCUGCUUUGAUUAUGCUUUCAACAGGCCAUUUCAAGGUUCUGUCAGCUGGCAGCUUCUGGAUGAUUUGGUAGGUAAUGUGAUCAGUUGGUCCUGUGGUCAGGGGCCUAUUGUCAUACCACCUUUACUAUAAAAUGGGUUACCUGGUCUGGUGCAAUGUUAUUUGGGAUCCUGUAUCAGUGGAUUCGAACUCCGUAAGUCCUCGGAUGGUGAUGCAGGAAAAACAAAUGCAUAUCCAAAUAAGUAUUGAUUCCUAGCAUAAUGAAUCUGUGCUCCUUCAGUAGAGGUAGAUCCAAUGGAGUCACCUUGAUACCUUACGUGCCAGUGGGUCUGCUUGAGAGAUGGUGUCAUCUUGGAGGCUCAGCGUUGGUCUUUAGUCUCUGUUGCUUGCCAGGUUGGACAUUCAACCAAGACAGUAUCCAGAUCAAUCUAUGUAAGUAGGAGACCAUGCCGUUGGGCCUAUGAAUUAUCUCCAUCCUUGUUACCAUAGCCAUUUCAGUCAUGUGGCCAUUAUGCCAGCACUGGGGCGGCCAGUGAUAGAGGCCAGAUGCUGUCAACUGGCUGAGUCUUUUUCUCUAUCUGGUUAUGUAGUACCUUGCUAGUGGGAGUUAACAUGUGCAUCUAAGAUCUUCAUACUUUGUGCCCACCCCAUUUAUUCAUUCACAUGCCUCUACUCCAGUCGUCUUGGUACCUGAUCUACCCAUCUUUCUUCUCACCUCUCAGACUCCGUCAUGCUACUGCCUAUGAGUUCAUAUAUAUUAUAAUCGUAAGCUACUUCUUUCUCUACACAAAGAAGAUGACCAUCCAAAAUUCUUCCCAUGGGGAGGAUUUUUUCUCACCACUGUUUUUCAAGAUGCUCUUU